AGCAAAGUAGACUUCUCAACAGAAAGAAAUAGGCCAGGCCUCCAGAGCUGGGACUGCGGACUGAGAGCAGGGCAAAUUCCCCUGGGGACUCUGUCCCUUCCAAGAGAGUGAUCGAGAAAAACAGCUUUUCUGAGAUUCGACCUGGGUGUCCCACGCCGGGAGGAUGAACAGGGCCACGUUCGCCAUCGCAGCAAGAACCCUGGAAAGAGCGUGCAUAUAUUGUAGCCUUGGUUCGCUUUUCCCUGGACUUCCGAACUCACCCUCCAUUCCCGGAGCAGUGACUAAGUACCCGGACCCCCUCAGGGACUCCAUCCAGGGGAUGUUCUAAGGACCACAGCCCUUGGAACUGGAUGGACUUUUUAGAAAUGAGUGCCAAAGGAAGUGGAAACCAGUUUAAAUUGGUGUGUAGCUGAAAGCUAAAAUCCACCCCCGCCCCAAAAAACCCCCCCGCUUCCUCUUUUUAUUACAAAUAAAUCUGCC
ensembl:lincRNA